GGAUCUCACUGCUGCUCAGUGUCGCUCGAGGAUGGGAAAUGAAGGAGCAGGGGGAGCCCGCGGACAUUUGGGCCGUCAGCUGACACUGCAACAUCUCUGGCAGCGCUCCGCAGUGAGUCAGCCCUGCCCGCCGUUACACAACGAUGAUUCAGAGCUCUGUCGCCAUCUCACGAGAGGUCUUUGAAGACGUGAAGGCUCACAGUGCACACAUUGUGAGUCACUGCCGCUCAGGUGAGAGGAAUUGAAAGCAGAGCCCAAGGACAACUGCC
rnacentral:lncRNA from 1 species